AGACCCGAAACCCGGUGAUCUAGCCAUGGGCAGGUUGAAGGUUGGGUAACACUAACUGGAGGACCGAACCGACUAAUGUUGAAAAAUUAGCGGAUGACCUGUGGCUGGGGGUGAAAGGCCAAUCAAACCGGGAGAUAGCUGGUUCUCCCCGAAAGCUAUUUAGGUAGCGCCUCGUGAAUUCAUCUCCGGGGGUAGAGCACUGUUUCGGCUAGGGGGCCAUCCCGGCUUACCAACCCGAUGCAAACUGCGAAUACCGGAGAAUGUUAUCACGGGAGACACACGGCGGGUGCUAACGUCCGUCGUGAAGAGGGAAACAACCCAGACCGCCAGCUAAGGUCCCAAAGUCAUGGUUAAGUGGGAAACGAUGUGGGAAGGCCCAGACAGCCAGGAUGUUGGCUUAGAAGCAGCCAUCAUUUAAAGAAAGCGUAAUAGCUCACUGGUCGAGUCGGCCUGCGCGGAAGAUGUAACGGGGCUAAACCAUGCACCGAAGCUGCGGCAGCGAACGUAUCACCCAAGACAACUUUACGGAGUUGACGAUUGACGGAGCGAAGCGACGUCAAAGCGUUCAUUAAAGUCGAGUUGGCUUAGGGAUACGUUCGUUGGGUAGGGGAGCGUUCUGUAAGCCUGUGAAGGUGUGUCGUGAGGCAUGCUGGAGGUAUCAGAAGUGCGAAUGCUGACAUAAGUAACGAUAAAGCGGGUGAAAAGCCCGCUCGCCGGAAGACCAAGGGUUCCUGUCCAACGUUAAUCGGGGCAGGGUGAGUCGACCCCUAAGGCGAGGCCGAAAGGCGUAGUCGAUGGGAAACGGGUUAAUAUUCCCGUACUUGGUGUUACUGCGAAGGGGGGACGGAGAAGGCUAUGUUGGCCGGGCGACGGUUGUCCCGGUUUAAGCGUGUAGGUGUGUGU
rnacentral:rRNA from 1 species